UACAGAGGGGGCAAGCGUUAUUCGGAAUUAUUGGGCGUAAAGGGCGCGUAGGCGGCUUUUCAAGUGGCGGGUGAAAUCCCUCGGCUUAACCGAGGAACUGCCUGCCAGACUGGAUGGCUUGAGACCGGGAGAGGUGAGUGGAAUUCCCAGUGUAGCGGUGAAAUGCGUAGAUAUUGGGAGGAACACCAGUGGCGAAGGCGGCUCACUGGACCGGUACUGACGCUGAGACGCGAAAGCGUGGGGAGCGAACAGG
rnacentral:rRNA from 1 species